CCCUUAGAUGUUCUGGGCUGCACGCGCGCUACACUGAUGCGCUCAACGAGUUUUAACCUUGCCUGGAAAGGUUGGGUAAUCUUUUUAAAACGCAUCGUGAUGGGGAUAGAUUAUUGCAAUUAUUAAUCUUCAACGAGGAAUGCCUAGUAGGCACAAGUCAUCAGCUUGUGCCGAUUACGUCCCUGCCCUUUGUACACACCGCCCGUCGCUACUACCGAUUGAAUGGCUCAGUGAGGCCUUCGGACUGGCCCAGGGAGGUUGGCAACGACCACCCAGGGCCGGAAAGUUGGUCAAACUUGGUCAUUUAGAGGAAGUAAAAGUCGUAACA
rnacentral:rRNA from 1 species